CAACAGAUUCUCCACGAACCUCAAAUGUGCUACCAUGAGAAAGUAAAACUUGAAGUGACCUUGCUAUUGAAGUCUCCUUUUGCAAUUUUUCCUCUUUUGAUGGUGUUAACUUUGUCAUCCACUGAUUGGAUUCCACCCGACGAGUAUAAAUUGAUUCCAUAAUUUUGCCUCUUAAUGCAUCAAUCAUUUGAGUUAUUGGCAAUUCGUGUGCCUCUGAUACCCAACUGUAGAACUGUUGCCCAAAGUUUGAUGUCAUGUGGUUAUACCUUGCUCCUCCAAAGAAGGCAUUUGCCCAGUGUUCUGGCUCACUCUGUAUCACCCAGUUAUAAGCUUCGGGGGAGAUGCCUUUUAUGUUCUCUACAGAUCGCUGGAAUCCCUCAAGUCUGGGUGCAUAUGCUGCAGCAUAAAAAUCAUUUAUCAUGAAGCGUCUUGCUUCAUGAGAAAACUGCCCCUUUAAGUCUCUAUUUAGUUUCUCAGCGAGAUGACGCAAACAAUAGCUGUGGUAGCAUUUAUCAAAAACUGCAGCCAGUGAUUUCUUUAAACCAUUCUGAAAAUCAGCAACAAAUGUAAUCUGACGAGAUGUAGAGACAGCAGACUUCAGUUCCAAUAAAAACCAAUGCCAGUUGUCCUCUGAAUCAAUAUCCACUACAGCAAAAGCUACAGGAAAAAUACCAUCAUCCCCAUCGACUGAAAUAGCAGCCAACAACAUUCCUUGAUAUUUUGAGUUUAAAGAAGCACUGUCAAGGAAAAUGAGAGGACGACAACCUUGUUCAAAGCCAGUUAUUGAUGCAUGAAAUGAGACAAAGAAACGAUGGAAACUCGAGUCAUCUUUUGUGGAGAAUGUAGCAAUACUGCCUGGAUUGGUUUCCUUUAUUCUUUCACAAAAAAAUGGCAACUGAUUAUAUGCCUCUUUAUAUGAGCCUUGAAGCUGCUCUCUUGCAAUCUCUUUUGCACGCCAUGCCUGAGAAUAAUUCAGUUGAAUCCCAUACUCCCGUUUGAUAUCAUCCGCAAUGUCUUUUGGCCUGUAGUUCGGGGCAACUUUCAGUUUCUCCUUUAUGAUACUUCCCACCCAACCCCUUGUUGCUCGAUACCCAGCUUUCACAGCAGCUCCUUCACAUGUAUGUUCUACAUUCAUUUUCUUGAUACAAAUUAAUUGAGUGGUUGACAACCUGGAUGCAUAUAUCCGCCAAGGACAACCUUGGGAUUUGCAUUUGACAGUAACACGAUGACUGUCAUUCUUCUUAUAUCUGUAAGCAAAUCCAUGUGCAAUUGAAUACUUAUGCAAAGCUUCUCUGAAUUCAGCAAAACUACUAAACCUUUGAUCAACACCAGUAAUGGUGUUUUCCCA
rnacentral:misc_RNA from 1 species